rnacentral:rRNA from 1 species
AGUGGGGAAUAUUGGACAAUGGGGGCAACCCUGAUCCAGCAAUGCCGCGUGUGUGAAGAAGGUUUUCGGAUCGUAAAACUCUGUUGUUAGAGAAGAACAAGGAUGAGAGUAGAACGUUCAUCCCUUGACGGUAUCUAACCAGAAAGCCACGGCUAACUACGUGCCAGCAGCCGCGGUAAUACGUAGGUGGCAAGCGUUGUCCGGAUUUAUUGGGCGUAAAGCGAGCGCAGGCGGUUUCUUAAGUCUGAUGUGAAAGCCCCCGGCUCAACCGGGGAGGGUCAUUGGAAACUGGGAGACUUGAGUGCAGAAGAGGAGGGUGGAAUUCCAUGUGUAGCGGUGAAAUGCGUAGAUAUAUGGAGGAACACCAGCGGCGAAGGCGGCUCUCUGGUCUGUAACUGACGCUGAGGCUCGAAAGCGUGGGGAGCGAACAGGAUUAGAUACCCUGGUAGUCCACGCCGUAAACGAUGAGUGCUAAGUGUUGGAGGGUUUCCGCCCUUCAGUGCUGCAGCAAACGCAUUA